GACGAACGCUGGCGGCGUGCUUAACACAUGCAAGUCGAACGGAAAGGCCCUGCUUUUGUGGGGUGCUCGAGUGGCGAACGGGUGAGUAACACGUGAGUAACCUGCCCUUGACUUUGGGAUGACUUCAGGAAACUGGGGCUAAUACCGGAUAGGAGCUCCUGCUGCAUGGUGGGGGUUGGAAAGUUUCGGCGGUUGGGGAUGGACUCGCGGCUUAUCAGCUUGUUGGUGGGGUAGUGGCUUACCAAGGCUUUGACGGGUAGCCGGCCUGAGAGGGUGACCGGCCACAUUGGGACUGAGAUACGGCCCAGACUCCUACGGGAGGCAGCAGUGGGGAAUAUUGCACAAUGGGCGGAAGCCUGAUGCAGCAACGCCGCGUGCGGGAUGACGGCCUUCGGGUUGUAAACCGCUUUCGCCUGUGACGAAGCGUGAGUGACGGUAAUGGGUAAAGAAGCACCGGCUAACUACGUGCCAGCAGCCGCGGUGAUACGUAGGGUGCGAGCGUUGUCCGGAUUUAUUGGGCGUAAAGGGCUCGUAGGUGGUUGAUCGCGUCGGAAGUGUAAUCUUGGGGCUUAACCCUGAGCGUGCUUUCGAUACGGGUUGACUUGAGGAAGGUAGGGGAGAAUGGAAUUCCUGGUGGAGCGGUGGAAUGCGCAGAUAUCAGGAGGAACACCAGUGGCGAAGGCGGUUCUCUGGGCCUUUCCUGACGCUGAGGAGCGAAAGCGUGGGGAGCGAACAGGCUUAGAUACCCUGGUAGUCCACGCUGUAAACGGUGGGUACUAGGUGUGGGGUCCAUUCCACGGGUUCCGUGCCGUAGCUAACGCUUUAAGUACCCCGCCUGGGGAGUACGGCCGCAAGGCUAAAACUCAAAGGAAUUGACGGGGCCCCGCACAAGCGGCGGAGCAUGCGGAUUAAUUCGAUGCAACGCGUAGAACCUUACCUGGGUUUGACAUGGAUCGGGAGCGCUCAGAGAUGGGUGUGCCUCUUUUGGGGUCGGUUCACAGGUGGUGCAUGGCUGUCGUCAGCUCGUGUCGUGAGAUGUUGGGUUAAGUCCCGCAACGAGCGCAACCCUUGUUCACUGUUGCCAGCACGUUAUGGUGGGGACUCAGUGGAGACCGCCGGGGUCAACUCGGAGGAAGGUGGGGAUGACGUCAAGUCAUCAUGCCCCUUAUGUCCAGGGCUUCACGCAUGCUACAAUGGCUGGUACAGAGAGUGGCGAGCCUGUGAGGGUGAGCGAAUCUCGGAAAGCCGGUCUCAGUUCGGAUUGGGGUCUGCAACUCGACCUCAUGAAGUCGGAGUCGCUAGUAAUCGCAGAUCAGCAACGCUGCGGUGAAUACGUUCCCGGGGCU
rnacentral:rRNA from 1 species